rnacentral:miRNA from 1 species
UGGUCAGAGGCAGCAGGAAAUGA